rnacentral:rRNA from 1 species
UAAAACCAGCACCUCAAGUGGUCAGGAUGAUUAUUGGGCCUAAAGCAUCCGUAGCCUGCUUUGUAAGUUUUCGGUUAAAUCCAUGUGCUCAACGCAUGGGCUGCCGAAAAUACUGCAUAGCUAGGGAGUGGGAGAGGUAGACGGUACUCAGUAGGUAGGGGUAAAAUCCUUUGAUCUAUUGAUGACCACCUGUGGCGAAGGCGGUCUACCAGAACACGUUCGACGGUGAGGGAUGAAAGCUGGGGGAGCAAACCGGAUUAGAUACCCGGGUAGUCCCAGCUGUAAACGAUGCAGACUAGAUGAUGCAUUGGCAUAAUAGCCAUUGCAGUGUCUCAGGGAAGCCGUUAAGUCUGCCGCCUGGGAAGUACGUACGCAAGUAUG